rnacentral:rRNA from 1 species
AAUUCCAAACGAACUUGGAGAUAGCUGGUUCUCUCCGAAAUAGCUUUAGGGCUAGCCUCGCAAAGAGGAUGCUGGAGGUAGAGCUCUGUUUGGACUAGGGGCCCGUCAAGGGUUACUGAAUUCAGAUAAACUGCGAAUUCCAGACAUUUAUGUGCGGGAGUCAGACUGCGAGUGAUAAGAUCCGUAGUCGAAAGGGAAACAGCCCAGAUCACCAGUUAAGGUCCCAAAAUUCAUGCUAAGUGGAAAAGGAUGUGGAGUUGCGCAGACAACUAGGACGUUGGCUCAGAAGCAGCCAUCAUUCAAAGAGUGCGUAAUAGCUCACUAGUCGAGUGACGCCGCGCCGAAAAUUUACCGGGGCUAAGCAUGAUACCGAAACUGUGGAUGUGCGUUUAUGCACGUGGUAGGAGAGCGUUCUAGCGGCGGUGAAGCAUGACCGAGAGGACAUGUGGAGCUUCUAGAAGUGAGAAUGCCGGUAUGAGUAACGAAAGACAGGUGAGAAUCCUGUCCGCCGCAAGACUAAGGUUUCCUGGGGCAGGCUCGUCCGCCCAGGGUAAGUCGGGACCUAAGGCGAGGCCGAGAGGCGUAGUCGAUGGACAACAGGUUGAAAUUCCUGUACUGCACCGAAUCGUUAUGAGCGAUGGAGGGACGCAGGAGGCUAGCAGCGCGUGGUGCUGGAUACCACGUUCAAGCGUCAAGUCUGAGAGUGAGUCAAAUGCUUGCUCUCAUAAGGACAAGGCGUGAUGAGGAGCGAAAUUAAAGUAGCGAAGGCUGCGACGUCACACUGCCGAGAAAAGCUUCUAGCCAGAGACGGUGCACCCGUACCGCAAACCGACACAGGUAGUCGAGGAGAGUAUCCUCAGGUGAGCGAGAGAACUCUCGUUAAGGAACUCGGCAAAAUGGCCCCGUAACUUCGGGAGAAGGGGCGCUGGUCGCAAGAUCAGCCGCAGUGAAAAGGCCCAAGCAACUGUUUAUCAAAAACACAGGCAUCUGCAAAAUCGUAAGAUGAAGUAUAGGUGCUGACACCUGCCCGGUGCUGGAAGGUUAAGAGGAGAGCUUAGCGCAAGCGAAGGUUUGAAUUGAAGCCCCAGUAAACGGCGGCCGUAACUAUAACGGUCCUAAGGUAGCGAAAUUCCUUGUCGGGUAAGUUCCGACCUGCACGAAAGGUGUAAUGAUUUGGGCACUGUCUCAACGAGAGACUCGGUGAAAUUAUAAUACCCGUGAAGAUGCGGGUUACCCGCGACAGGACGGAAAGACCCCAUGGAGCUUUACUGCAGUUUAAUAUUGGGUAUCUGUCAAGCAUGUACAGGAUAGGUAGGAGCCGGAGAAGAUAGGACGCCAGUCUUAUCUGAGGCGCUGUUGGGAUACUACCCUUGCUUGACGGAUGCUCUAACUCAGGUCUGUGAUCCAGGCCGAGGACAGUGUUUGACGGGCAGUUUGACUGGGGCGGUCGCCUCCUAAAGUGUA